CGGCUGAUGAUGAGUGAUCGUAAAGAUCUUAGCGGAUUUCAGUGAGACUCUCCGGUCUAUGAUCUGAUUCUUGUUGUUACACACACUGAUGCCU
rfam:Musa acuminata subsp. malaccensis Doubled-haploid Pahang (DH-Pahang) genomic chromosome, chr3